AGUUUGAUCCUGGCUCAGAUUGAACGCUGGCGGUAUGCCUUACACAUGCAAGUCGAACGGUAGAGGAGCAAUCCUCGAGAGUGGCGAACGGGUGAGUAAUACAUCGGAACGUGCCCAGUCGUGGGGGAUAACGUAGCGAAAGCUACGCUAAUACCGCAUACGACCCGAGGGUGAAAGCGGGGGACUCGCAAGAGCCUCGCGCGAUUGGAGCGGCCGAUGGCAGAUUAGGUAGUUGGUGGGGUAAAGGCCCACCAAGCCUGCGAUCUGUAGCUGGUCUGAGAGGACGACCAGCCACACUGGGACUGAGACACGGCCCAGACUCCUACGGGAGGCAGCAGUGGGGAAUUUUGGACAAUGGGCGAAAGCCUGAUCCAGCCAUACCGCGUGCGGGAAGAAGGCCUUCGGGUUGUAAACCGCUUUUGUCAGGGAAGAAAUACUUCGGGCUAAUACCCUGGGGUGAUGACGGUACCUGAAGAAUAAGCACCGGCUAACUACGUGCCAGCAGCCGCGGUAAUACGUAGGGUGCAAGCGUUAAUCGGAAUUACUGGGCGUAAAGCGUGCGCAGGCGGUUCUAUAAGACAGAUGUGAAAUCCCCGGGCUCAACCUGGGAACUGCAUUUGUGACUGUAGAGCUAGAGUACGGUAGAGGGGGGAUGGAAUUCCGCGUGUAGCAGUGAAAUGCGUAGAUAUGCGGAGGAACACCGAUGGCGAAGGCAAUCCCCUGGACCUGUACUGACGCUCAUGCA
rnacentral:rRNA from 1 species